rnacentral:misc_RNA from 1 species
GUAUUUUCCAGAAUCAGUCCAGCAACCUUGUCAGGGUUGUUUUUCGUUAGCAGACAGCAGCGCCCCAACUGCACCCCCAAGUGACCUCCCAAACACAACUAUUCUAGAAGUGUCAAUGUCGGUCCUCUGAGAAAGAUGAUCCAAUGCAGCCUGAGCAUCCUUUGUGAUUCCAUGUUGAGAAGGGUAUCCAUCACUUGCUCCAUAACCUCGGUAUGAAAGCAUGAACACAUUGCAGUGCAACCUCUGUAUCAUGAUGCGAAUCAUUUCAAGACGGUGAGCAAUAUUUCCUGCAUU